rnacentral:rRNA from 1 species
ACCCGCUGAAUUUAAGCAUAUAAGUAAGCGGAGGAUAAGAAACUAAAUAGGAUUCCCUCAGUAAUGGCGAAUGAACAGGGAUAAGCUCAGCAUGAGAAUCGGGGCCUGUGGCCUUGAAUUGUAGUCUUGAGUUGUACUACCAAUGGAGGCGCAGAUGUAAGCCUCUUGGAAAAGAGCACCGACGAGGGUGAGAGUCCCGUUUGUCAUCUGCAGUCCCCCAUGCACGGUGUACUUCUAAAGAGUCACGUUCCUCGGGAUUGGAGCGCAAAGUGGGUGGUAAAUUUCAUCUAAAGCUAAAUAUAGGUUCGAGACCGAUAGCAAACAAGUACCAUGAGGGAAAGGUGAAAAGGACUUUGAAAAGAGAGUUAAAAGUGCCUGAAAUUGCUGAAAGGGAAGCGAAUGGAACCAGUGCUUCUUGGCAAGAUUGGUGCGUGCUAUUGUGAUUGCCUGCUGCUUCAGCGCAAGCGUGGUAGUGGGUUUUGAUCAGGACGCGCGUGUUGUUUCUUGCCUUGUGUGUCAACGUCAGUUCUUGAUCGGGGAAAACACCAGGGACAUGGUAGUUUGCCUAUGGGUGAGCGAAUGUGCUUGGUUGAACUCAUUCUUGAACUGAUUCAUGCGUGUCUGGUUGCAGGGGCUUGUGUCCUCAUGACCUUGUGGUGGGUGUAUGCCUGCUGCUCGUGAGUGGGUGACUGGGUCUCCUCCCUGACACAAUGACGAUGACUAAAUGGUUCUAUUCGACCCGUCUUGAAACACGGACCAAGG